rnacentral:rRNA from 1 species
UACAAGAAAGACUAGCGUUAUUCAUCUUUAUUAGGUUUAAAGGGUACCUAGACGGUAUAUUAAGUCUUUAUAUAGGGAACAAAUAUAACUAGAGUUUAAUAAAAGAGGUAAAUGUCAGUACUAUUGGUGGAGAGAUGAAAUUCUUUGAUACUCCUAGGACUGGUAAUGGUGAAAACAACCCUUUAUGUAUAAACUGACGUUGAGGGACGAAGGCUUGGGUAAUGAAUAGG